ensembl:lncRNA
UUAGGAGCAGAUUUCAGGAUCAGGACAAGACACCCUCUAUGUGACUGAUGACUGGGAUGAAUGUAGGAGCAGAUUUCAGGAGCAGGACAAGACACCCUCUAUGUGACUGAUGACUGGGAUGAAUGUAGGAGCAGAUUUCAGGAGCAGGACAAGACACCGUCUAUGUGACUGAUGACUGACAUAAGGACAUAAGGUGCUAGGCCUAUCUGGCUUAUAUGAUUAUGAUGGUCAUAAGGCUUCUUGGCAUAACAAAGCAAUUGUUCGGUGUUGAAAAUAGUUUUGCUGUGCUGACGUCAUAGGUACGAGACGGAGUCGCUGUUAGCAUGGCUGUGCUGACGUCAUAGGUACGAGACGGAGCCGCUGUUAGCAUGGCUGUGCUGAGGUCAUAGGUACGAGACGGAGCCGCUGUUAGCAUGGCUGUGCUGACGUCAUAGGUACGAGACGGAGCCGCUGUUAGCAUGGCUGUGCUGAGGUCAUAGGUACGAGACGGAGCCGCUGUUAGCAUGGCUGUGCUGAGGUCAUAGGUACGAGACGGAGCCGCUGUUAGCAUGGCUGU